UCGACGGUGAGGGAUGAAAGCUGGGGGAGCAAACCGGAUUAGAUACCCGGGUAGUCCCAGCUGUAAACUAUGCAAACUCAGUGAUGCAUUGGCUUGUGGCCAAUGCAGUGCUGCAGGGAAGCCGUUAAGUUUGCCGCCUGGGAAGUACGUACGCAAGUAUGAAACUUAAAGGAAUUGGCGGGGGAGCACCACAAGGGGUGAAGCCUGCGGUUCAAUUGGAGUCAACGCCAGAAAUCUUACCCGGAGAGACAGCAGAAUGAAGGUCAAGCUGAAGACUUUACCAGACAAGCUGAGAGGUGGUGCAUGGCCGUCGCCAGCUCGUGCCGUGAGAUGUCCUGUUAAGUCAGGUAACGAGCGAGAUCCCUGCCUCUAGUUGCCACUAUUACACCCUGGUGUAGUAGGGCGAAUUAGGGGGACCGCCGCAGUUAAUGCGGAGGAAGGAAGGGGCCACGGCAGGUCAGUAUGCCCCGAAACUCUGGGGCCACACGCGGGCUGCAAUGGUAGCGACAAUGAGUUCCAAAAUCGAAAGAUGGAGGUAAUCCCUAAACGCUACCACAGUUGUGAUUGAGGGCUGCAACUCGCCCUCAUGAACAUGGAAUCCCUAGUAACCGCGUGUCAUUAUCGCGCAGUGAAUACGUCCCUGCUCCUUGCACACACCGCCCGU
rnacentral:rRNA from 1 species